rnacentral:rRNA from 1 species
UACGUAGGGACCAAGCGUUGUUCGGAUUUACUGGGCGUAAAGGGCGCGUAGGCGGCGUGACAAGUCAAUUGUGAAAUCUCCGGGCUUAACUCGGAACGGUCAAUUGAUACUGUUGUGCUAGAGUACAGAAGGGGCAAUCGGAAUUCUUGGUGUAGCGGUGAAAUGCGUAGAUAUCAAGAGGAACACCUGAGGUGAAGACGGGUUGCUGGGCUGAUACUGACGCUGAGGCGCGAAAGCUAGGGGAGCAAACAGG